ensembl:lncRNA
CGGUCGGCGUCGCGAUCGUACGGGCGGGUCGCGCUGCGGCGUGAAACGGCGCGUUUUCGAGGGAGAGCGGCUGAAAGAUGGGUGAAGUGAGUUCCACGUGGGGAUGAACGGACUCCUCGCGAAACCCCGGCUGAGUCCGACAGAAAUCAGUUGGUGCUGCGUGCGAGAACGUCUCGUUUACACUUCGCAAAACAGCCGGUGGUUUUCUGAGCGCAAUACUGAGCAAAACUCCUUUGAUCGCUUCAGGGCUGAAGGGAGCCUCGCUUGCCGGGGCACAGUGGGGAGGGACGGGGAGCGCAACCCCCCGUGGCACCGGGAAUGGGAAGAAAGCGGGGUUUUGUGUGGCCUCAGCUGCGAGAGUAGAGAGCGUCACUGGCGGGAGAGCAGCAGCCCUCAGCCCGCUGAGGGAUCCCAGCGCGCUCCAGAGCAGCGGGGUCACGGCCGCGGCCAGGCGAGGUGCUGCUUCUCCCCUGGCAGCACGAGAGAAUCCAAAGCUGGGAACACCAGGUCCCUUCGUGUGCAAGAUUAGUCUUUUCUUGCCUGUUGUAUGUUUAAAAUGUAAUGUAUUCUGAACCUUCUGGGACCUAACUCGCAGCUCCACAGGUAAGCUCCAAAAAUACGGGGCUUCCUCCUGCUGCACCGCACCACCAGCAGCAACCACGUCCUUCUUCUCUAUUCACAGGAUUCUGUUACCGAUGAGUCCGCGUGCGCAACCUCUCAUCAAACGCAAGAGGUGCUCCCAGGAUCUCAGCAUCUCUCUCCCAUGGCAGGGACGGGAUAGGCAGCACGAGGGGAAGUUGCUUAUAAGCACCGUCGUGUAGCGUCAGAGCUGCAGGUUUGAAAGCUCUGAGAGCCAACCUCACAGAACCUUCCUGCUCUGAGGCACCAGCACCUUGCUCAUUCACGAAAUCACUCUGAGGAAGAAGGCAAAAUGAAUUUUUGCAUUAGGGACACAUCACUGGUUUCUCCGUAGUGCUGAUAACACAACUUUAGUGAAAAUCUCGGACCUUUUGCUACACAGAAUAACCAUGUUGCCCUGAAUGGUUAUUGUUUAGUGAAACAUCUGAAAACACAUAAUAGACUACUUGUUUGCAACGCUUGCUAUAGAUUUUGUAAUGAAGUGCCGUUGCGCUGCAUCAAUUUGACAGUUCGAGUUGAUAAUUUGACAGAAAGAUUAAUCCUAAACUCCCAGCAUAAACAGAAUUCCCUUUAAUGUCAGAAGGGACUUUGUAACUGCCAGCCCAAACGCUGCGGAUGGGCUUCAGCAGGUUACAGAGAGCGUCUUCAGGAUCAAAUUUGACAUUCCUCUUCCUGACUAACAGUUGGUAGUUGAAAAUAGAACACCUCUCCCAGUUCUGAAUUCUGACCCUCACUUCUUGCUCACCCAAACCGAGGACUUCCAGACUUCUUUUCCCAAACGCUCACCGCGAAGGCUUUUGAAUGCAGAUGUUCACUCGUGUCUCCUGACAGUAGGCUCAGUUUUCUCAGCUACUUUUAGUAAGCUCCUAAAAACAGCCCACGGUCCCUCAGAACCUCAUCAACAACUGGCUAAAAGCCACGGUCUCACUAAGUUGUUCUUCCAGUGGCAACAUAUGGAGGACCAUCAACCGUCAAGACGGAAGUUCAUGCAACUGUCAAGACUGAAUUUCAUGCAUUCAGAAUGCUUAGGCACCAUCUGACACUCGUAGAGACCCUAACGUUAAAUACAUCUACUGAACUGUGACAGCACACAUUUCUUGUGUGAAAGCCUAUAUUUCUGAUAAGGAAACCUGGUUCAGCAGCGCUCAAUAUGGAUUCUGGAUAACAUCUUAAAGAGGCCAACCAGCCAUUCCGUGCAUACAGAAACAUGCCUGUGAACUUCUCCCUGCAGUCAGCUCCUUCAGCUCCCCACUUCCACGCCAGUGAUGUUAUUUCACCCACACCUUGCAGAAGGGGCGCAUUCCACUCAUUCCUGAGCUGGGACGAGCGCCCGCAGCAUUACUCACCCACAGCAGUGUCUGUAGAUCCCUGUCUGCUGUGGAUACUAAUCUCAAUCCAGAGCUUCCUCAGACGAUUAGAGGCUGUUCUGCAAAAUGUCAAUACGCAGCCUCUCCGAAGCCAACACGGUGUGGUGGUUGAAAUGGGAGCCGUGGAGGCUUUCCAAAUAUGAAGGUCUGGAAAUGUUUGGAGGUAUUUUAAUAUUGAUGAAUACUUCAGAUUUUUUUUUUUUUUUUUCUGUUGCUUCAGUGUAUCAGUGUCAAAUCAGUGCGGAUUAAUGGCAAGACAGAGCCCUAGUACCAUUCAUGUCUAUCAAAGUUCUGGCAAAUGCUAACAACUUACUGCUAUUAAUGAUCACUCUUUGCCCAGAAGUUCACAUAAUUCAUCAAAAAGCCAAUGUUGAUAAGCAGAAAGAAAUUAAAUACUUCUGAGUCUUCUGUUAAAAUGCCUUUCUUUUUACUUUGUUUAACAUCUAAUGUCUCCUACGGCAAAAGUAAGCAAGGGGAAGUCUUUUCCUUCUUCAGCACGAAAGAGCACCCACACCACUCAAAAACAGUUGAGAUUAAACCUUUGAAAAGGUAUCAGCAGUGUGUGUAAAGCCAAAUUGGUAAAGUGUGCCCUAGACACCACUUUUGACUCUGGGGAAAAUGCUUUAUCAUCUGUCUACUGCUACGCUCUGCCUAUUCAUCACCAUUACUCAGUAACUCUGCGGUGGCAGCUUUGUACUUAACAUGAAGCCAAAGAUCAGGGAGAGGCACACAUCAAACAAGACUUGAACUUGGAGAUGGCAAACCAUACGUUCUAGACCUCAUUCCUUUAAAGGACCGUACCUCGGAAUGAAACCUGUGAGCCUUCUCUAUAGUUUCAUUUGUUCAAUACAGUGCUACACUUGUUCUGUAAAAGAAGUUGGCAAAAGCCCUGCUUUCCUGAGAUCUUGUCAUUCAUUGUGACUGAAACCUAAAAGGCUGCCCUAUGGUACUAGGGCAGGUCUGGGGUACCUGAGAGAUCUACCUGCUCCCUAUGCCUCCAUUCCACUUUCUUCACACACCUUGAAACCAAGGAACUGUCAAACACAGAAGCAAAGAUGGCGAGGGGUGUACACCCCCAUUCUUUGCAGCUUUCCAUGGCUGUAAAGUUCCCUGUGAAGUGACCCGAGAAUAUGUACAAUGACAGAAAACUCAUUUCUUCACCCGCCAUUUCUCAACAACAGCCAGUUCCAGCCCUUGUCAUUCUUCUACUUCUCCACACAGAUGAAGGCAGGAGAGAAUUCUCUUGGUUUCACUUUAAUAAAUGAGUAAGUCUCACAGGCAUUACAAUGGUAGGAGGAGAUGCAGAAAAGUUGUGUGUGGUUGGGAUACGAUGGAAAUUUCUCUGUUAUUUUAAAAUUAUUUCUUCCUUUAUAAUAGAUCAUUUGUGCUUAUACACUCCUGAAAAUGCUUUUAUAGCAAUCUACAUCAAGUUCUUCCUAAAAAGCAUCCCUCCUCUUUUUGUCUUUUUGUGAAGAAUAGAUUUUUUUUUUACAAUAAAGAUAGUGGUUUAUACAUUUGCUCAUAAUUCUGUAUUUCCCCCGUGAGCUUUAUUACAUGAUAUAGUAUGUCAGUUUAAGUAACAUCUGUCAAGGGAUGGAAAACAAUUACAGGUUCUUUUCAUUCAUGAAAGUCAUUCUGGAGUUUCUUCAUCCUUAAUUUUCUUGUCAUGCUUUCAAAAACAUUACAUCAUUUUGUCCAAAUUCCCCCCUGCAUUGCUUAUACAAGAUACAGUAGGUUAUUAAUUUCUUUCCUAGACCCAAAGAAACACAUCAAAGUAUCUACAGUCGCACGUACUACAUGUUUUAGACCUGGUUAAAGUUGGGCUUUGACAUGUCAUUAUUUGACAAUUACUCUUCUAUUGCAGUGCUUGCUUUCCUGCCAGCAUCUCGCCAGAAUCCUGCAUGACAGAAUCAAAGAACAGCGGAGACUGAAAGGCUCUUGUGAAGAGGAACCUAAUUUCCCUCCUCAAUGAUGGUGAGAAAUCAUAGGAAGAGACACAAGGUGGCAAAACGUAUGUACUUCACCCUGAUAGGAUGCACCCACAAGGGCUGAGGAUGCUGGCAGAAGUGACUGCCAAACUACUCUCUAUCAUUUUUGAAAGGAGAUCAUGGAGAAUGGGAGAGGUGCCUGAAGGCUGGAGAAAAACUGAUGUCACAAAGGGCAAGAAGGAGGACCUGUGAAACUAAAGGCCAGUCAGCCUCACAUCCAUCCCCAGGAAGGUGAUGGAACAACUUACAUGCAACCUGCUCUAGGGAAACUGCUUUAGCAGUGGCGUUGCACUAGAUGAUCUCCAAAGCUUCCUUCCAGCCCUGUGAUUCUGUGAUUGUGUGAUUCUGUGAUACUUUAGAAUGUCACUGUCCGAACUAGAACCCAGUUCUUAUGUCCUGUAGGACAGCCCUGCCACUGCUGGAACACGUAAUGUAAAAUUUUUGCUGGGGGAAAACAAGCAAGUCUCCCUUUGGACUAGCCUGACUUUGAG